UACGAAGGGUGCUAGCGUUGUUCGGAAUUAUUGGGCGUAAAGCGUGCGUAGGCGGUUUAACAAGUCAGCUGUGAAAGCCCAGGGCUUAACCCUGGAAUUGCAGUUGAAACUGUUAGGCUAGAGUAUGGAGUGGGAUAGUGGAAUUCCUAGUGUAGGGGUGAAAUCCGUAGAUAUUAGGAGGAACACCGGUGGCGAAAGCGACUAUCUAGACCAUCACUGACGCUCAAGCACGAAAGCGUGGGGAGCAAACAGG
rnacentral:rRNA from 1 species